ensembl:snRNA U6 U6 spliceosomal RNA
GUGCUCACCUCUGCAGCACAAGUUCUAAAAAGUAGAACAAUACAGAGAAGAUGAGCACAGUCACUGAGCAAGUAGACACUAAUUCAUGAAAACUCCCAUAUUUUU